UUGUAGCAAUAACGAAGUCCCAAACAGUCCGCGGUAUAUCACGAAAGGCUUGUUUUUGAGCCUGUGUCAGCCGAAUUUGUCCUGUAAAUUACUCAACAGGUGGACACCGCCUAAAGUCUCCGGCAGGAAGGACAUGUCGUGGGAUGACGACCUUGAGGUCCUGGCAGACACAGAUUCUUACAAUGGUUACGUUCUUGUACCGUCUCGAAGAUGCUAUGAUUUUCCAGUCAUACCGAUUUGCGCUCGCUAUAAUUCUUCCUUAGUAAGAUAUGGCCAAUGCGUCGAGAAUUUCACUAGCAGUAGUUAUUCCGAAGAAAACUAUAGUUCCUCAUCGGAGGUUUCCAGUCUCACCUCUGAUUACAUCCGAGGUGGUUACAGGUCUUGGGCAGCAGACCCACCCGACUUCAUCUUGGAUGCUCCUAGCAAGACUACCUGCAGUCUGACGUCCGGUGUUCUCCGAGAAAUCGACAAGCAACCGAGGUAUAGUGAUGAUCAAAGGACUUCAACGACUCGGGUUCAAGGCGACUUUGAUGUUGCUUGUGAUCUAGAUUAUUUUAUCGGACGGUCCUCUCACUUCUGCUGAGAUAAAAUUAGAACUUUCCGUAUAGAGGCCAGUGACCUUUCGUUUGCUGAUUCCAGCCCGAACAGCUUGAGAAAAAAUGGAAUAAGACAAAGAUAAUGCUGCAUACAUUAAGCAAUACUGCGAUGUAUCCUUCUCAGCUUGGCCUUAAUAUGAUGAACGACCUAGAGCUCUUAACGGCAGUAUCCUAACCUGCUGCGGUACGCUGUUGCUUACGGUACAAAUUUCCAUAAAGCAGUCGCGUAGGUAAACACUACCGAAUGUAUCGUAUAAAACAAGCCCCAGAGUAAGCCAGUGAAAGCAGUAGAGUAAAGCGUGUUAAGGCAAAUCUAUGGACUUCGGUCGGUUUUCCAUCGUACUAUCAGCGUUCUCAGUAGCAAUAUUGGCUUGGCGUCUCCGAGUGCUUUUUUUGUACAGACGGAAAUUUACGUUUUGUGAGGAGACUAGGGUGUGGGGCAGAUAAACGAUUAAUUUAUCCGUCGUUUUCGUUUAUUUAUUAGAAUUAUUUUAUCUGCGUGUGGCAAGCUGUUUAUGACUUAAUUAUAUUCUGAAAAGGACAUGCGUUGACGAUUGCUAUAUGUUGUCAACCUACAUUACGAUAACUAUGAAAGUUUCCUCUCAUUAUUCACUCGAUGAUCGCUGGUAAUCGCCGAUGUCAAUCUACAUUGGCAGCCAUCUUUACCCCAUUCAUACAAGGCUCGACCAUACGUAGCAGAGUGGCAAUUUAUUUCAAAAGAGAUCAUCAUUAAAAUUCGAAUACUUCUGUGCGAGCCAAAAAAACAUCUCAAAAAAAAAGACGUCACUGGGAGAAAUCGAUGGUCUUGUCGAUAAUUCGUUGCCGUGCUUUAUUUAACUGAGCGGGAACUUAACCUGCAGAUGGAGAUUGUAUAACGACAAUGGUACCCAUCGUUUGACAGUCGCUAUUCAGUCAAGCACAUAGUGAACACCAAGUGAUAAGUAUCGCUACCGCUGGAUUGACCGAUUUUUGCUGUGAACUUAUAAGUGACGGAUAAGACAAGUUGUGAUCUCUGCAAUAGUCUAUUACCGCUUAAAUUUAGUAGCAAAUAUAUGUC